rnacentral:lncRNA from 1 species
UCUCUGUCCAACAGUUGUUAAGAGGCCCUUGUGAGCUAACCUCUGAAUGGGAAGAAAUAAUUCUCCCUUCCCAGCUGCCAGUCUAAUUCAGAACGUGUCCACAAAUCCAGGGCACAGAAACAAACGGAAACACAGAACUGUACAACUAUAAAAGUAUUUGCACAAAGCCAAAACAUCUUCCUUCUUUCUCUCUCUUUGGCAUUUAUUUCAGACCCACAGUGAUUUUUUACAAAAGAUCGUAGCUCACCUUGUCGAUGAAGGAGGCAAACUUAUUGUUGAGGGUCUUGAUCUGCUCGCGCUCCUCGGUCCUCACCCUCUGGAUGCUGGGGUCGAUUUGCAGGUUGAGGGGAGUCAGGAGACUCUGGUUGACAGUGACCUCUUGGAUACCUCCAGGAGGGCAGACAGGAAAGCCAGGGCCACCGAAGCCACCUCCAAAGCCAGCUCCGCCACCGAGCCCAAAGCCACCACCAGCUCCACCGCCGAAACCAAAUCCACUACCGGCACCACCUCCAAAGCCAUAGCCGCCUCCAGCACCAGCACCAAACCGGUUCCUGAAGCUGCCACCACUAGUGCUGAUGGAUAUCCUCUUGGAGCCCCCCAGGUUGUAGAGGCUCCGGCUGCCAUAGCCACCCACUCCACAAGCACCCGCAAGGCUGACCCUGCCGAAGCCACCACCACCGCCACCCCCGGACCGGGACACGGAGGUGAAGCUGGUGCGGGAGACAGACGGGGUGAUGGCAGAGGCGGUGCUGAAGCUACGACUGCCCCCGCUCCGGAAGGACACACUUGACUGGCGAGACAUGGUGGCUUGUUCCUGGUGGAGCAAGAGAACCAGGCACUAGUGGGUUGGGAGGUGCUGGAGAGAACAGAGCUCAGCAGGACGCAGAAGGUGGCUCUGUUACCCAGGAACGGUGAUGCCCCCUUUUUAUCCCUUCCAGAAC